GCUUCCGGGUCGUGGGGCUCGGGCCCGGUCCUGGGCGCGGAGGCUGCUGGGAGGUGAGAGUCGUCAUGGUGUCUGUGUGACUUGCGGAGGCUGUCGCGUUAGACCUUGGUCGACGUGUGCCGCGGGAGGGUAGCAGCAUAAAAGAUGACAACAGCAGCUAGGCCAACUUUUGAACCUGCAAGAGGUGGGAGAGGAAAAGGAGAAGGUGAUUUGAGCCAACUCUCAAAGCAGUAUUCAAGUAGAGACCUACCUUCUCAUACAAAGAUAAAAUAUAGACAAACUACUCAGGAUGCCCCUGAAGAGGUUCGCAACCGUGACUUCAGGAGGGAGCUGGAAGAGAGAGAGAGAGCUGCUGCAAGAGAAAAAAACAGAGACCGUCCAACAAGAGAACAUACAACCUCCUCGUCGGUGUCAAAGAAGCCUCGGUUAGACCAGAUUCCUGCUGCCAACCUUGAUGCAGAUGAUCCUCUAACAGAUGAGGAAGACGAGGAUGAAGAUUUUGAAGAGGAGAGUGAUGAUGAUGACACUGCAGCUCUUCUUGCAGAACUAGAAAAAAUUAAAAAAGAAAGAGCUGAAGAGCAGGCCAGGAAGACAUUUAGUCAUUGUCCACUAAGUGGCAGAAGAAUUAAAGAUGAAUACGAUACAAUCAUGGUCUACAAAGAACCCAUGGAUAGAAUGAAGCCAUCUUUAUCCCUUUGUCUCCUGCUUCCAGCCUUCUUUCCAGGAACAAGAACAGAAAGCUGAAGAAGAAAGAAUACGUAUGGAAAACAUUUUGAGUGGAAACCCUCUCCUUAAUCUCACUGGUCCAUCCCAGCCACAGGCCAACUUCAAAGUUAAAAGAAGGUGGGAUGAUGAUGUUGUUUUCAAGAACUGUGCAAAAGGUGUAGAUGAUCAGAAGAAAGACAAAAGAUUUGUAAAUGAUACACUGCGAUCUGAAUUUCACAAAAAGUUCAUGGAGAAAUAUAUUAAAUAGUACAGUUUUAUGUGCUUAAUUAAAGACUGUAAGGUGUAAACGAUCAUUCUCACUUUGUUCUGUUUUUCUCUUUCCCCAUCUAAAUUGUGUAUAGGCCUCCCUAAUUUUAAGUUCCAAACUAUCUUUUCCUUUAUUGAUAACUUUAUUUGAUGAGGACUUGGGAAUUGGUUUAACCUAGUUUCCAUCCUCUGAAUAUUUCCAGUAAUAUGCUUUCCUUUUAAUAUGGGAAAGGGAAUCUUCUUGUAAUAAAUAUUUUCAAAACUCGAAAUAUCUAAAUCUGUGCCCCCAACUUUUUUUGUUGAAAUGUAUACAGCUUAUAAAACGUUGCACAUUUUCUUU